AUCUUUGCGCUUGGGGCAAUGACGCAGCUAAUGAGGUCUUAACCGAAGCGCGUCUAUUGCUGGUUGAAAACUAUUUCCAUACCCCCUCCUGGGCCUAAGCUCGUCUUGGGCCUUCGAGAAUUUCUGGAAGAGCUCCCUUCGGGGUAAAGCU
rfam:Capsella rubella cultivar Monte Gargano unplaced genomic scaffold scaffold_6, whole genome shotgun sequence.